rnacentral:misc_RNA from 1 species
AAGUCGUAACAAGGUCUCCGUUGGUGAACCAGCGGAAGGGAUCACUAUAGAGUUUUAUAACCCAAUCCCAAUCCGAUGUAAUUUAACCUCUGUUGCCUCGGCGGAGCUACCCUGUAGCCGCCGCCGACGGCCCAUUAAACUCUUGUUAUUAUUAGUAUAUCUGAGCUUCUUAUUUUAAUAAGUUAAAA